UUCCGGUUGAUCCCGCCGGACCUGACUGCUAUCGGAUUGAUACUAAGCCAUGCGAGUCUUUGCAGUAAUGCAAGGCGGACUGCUCAGUAACACGUAGUCAACUUAACCUAUGGAUGGGUAUAACCUCGGGAAACUGAGAAUAAUUCCCAAUAGAUCAUUUAUCCUGGAAUGGUUAGUGAUUGAAAUGAUUCGUCGCCAUAGGAUAGGACUGCGGCCUAUCAGCUUGUUGGUGAGGUAAAGGCCCACCAAGGCUAUUACAGGUACGGGCUCUGAGAGGAGAAGCCCGGAGAUGGGUACUGAGACACGGACCCAGGCCCUAUGGGGCGCAGCAGGCGAGAAAACUUUGCAAUGUGCGAAAGCACGACAAGGUUAAUCCGAGUGAUUUCUGCUAAAGAAAUCUUUUGCCAGUUCUAAAAAUACUGGUGAAUAAGGGGUGGGCAAGUUCUGGUGUCAGCCGCCGCGGUAAAACCAGCACCUCAAGUUGUCAGGAGGAUUAUUGGGCCUAAAGCAUCCGUAGCCGGCUCUGUUAGUUUUCGGUUAAAUCCAUAUGCUCAACAUAUGGGCUGUCGGAAAUACUGCAGAGCUAGGGAAUGGGAGAGGUAGACGGUACUCGAUAGGAAGGGGUAAAAUCCUUUGAUCUAUUGAUGACCACCUGUGGCGAAGGCGGUCUACCAGAACAUGUUCGACGGUGAGGGAUGAAAGCUGGGGGAGCAAACCGGAUUAGAUACCCGGGUAGUCCCAGCUGUAAACGAUGCAGACUCGAUGAUGCAUUAGCAUAUAGCUAAUGCAGUGUCGCAGGGAAGCCGUUAAGUCUGCCGCCUGGGAAGUACGUACGCAAGUAUGAAACUUAAAGGAAUUGGCGGGGGAGCACCACAAGGGGUGAAGCCUGCGGUUCAAUUGGAUUCAACGCCG
rnacentral:rRNA from 1 species